rnacentral:rRNA from 1 species
AUUGAACGCUGGCGGCAGGCCUAACACAUGCAAGUCGAGCGGAGCGGCGGACGGGCGAGUAAGGCCUAGAAAUCUGCCUGGUAGUGGGGGAUAACGUCCGGAAACGGGCGGUAAUACCGCCUAUUAUCUAAUGAGUCAAGGUGGGAUUAGUUAGUUGGUGGGGUAAAGGCGUACCAAGUCGACGAUCCGUAGCUGGUCUGAGAGGAUGAUCAGUCACACUGGGACUGAGACACGGUCCAGACUCCUACGGGAGGCAGCAGUGGGGAAUAUUGGACAAGGGGCGCAAGCCUGAUGCAGCCAUGCCGCGUGUGUGAAGAAGGUCUUCGGGUUGUAAAGUACUUUCAGUCGGGAGGCGUUACCGACAGAAGAAGCACCGGCUAACUCCGUGCCAGCAGCCGCGGUAAUUC